rnacentral:lncRNA from 1 species
CGAGAGGGAGGUCGCUUUUUAUGAAUGGAAAUGAAUGUAUAAGCCCAGUGACUCAGUGAGUGUGUCAUCUAGCCUCUUUAUAAGGGCCAGCGCACGAACAUGCCUAAACAGUUCAAACCGCGCUGCUCGCUCCGACAGGCGCUCGGAUCUCCUCCCCUCCUGAAGCUCGCCCGUCUGCCCGGCGCUCCCGGCUCUCACCUGCCCGGCCUCUGACCGGUCCCGGUCACCUCCACCUCCCGUCCCGUCCCGUCCACUCCAGUCCCAGAGCCCCGGACGCAGCGCCAGGCGCCUGGAGAAGCGGGGCGCCCCACGUGACGGCUCCCCACCGCCGGCGCUAAAUUUCCUUCAGUUUUUUUUUUUUUUGGUUUUAAUUCGCGGAACCCAACCAUGAGACUGCUCGGAGACUCCUCCCCCCCGCUGCUGCUCUCGCUGCUACUGGCCCAGCUGUCCGCCUUCGCCAGCGGUUCCCCCGCCUCCCGCCGUCCCCACGGCGACUUCGACAAGCUGGCCAACCAGACGCUGCACCUGCUCAAGCUGACCAAGGCCCUGCUGGUGAGACCAGAGCACAGGCUGCUCAUUAGUGAUGGGGAGGAGGAGGACUGGGAUGGCACAGGACACGGAGGCAGAGAGGCCCCUGAGCGCGCACUCGUCCUGGGGGGCCCCAGAGCGCGGGAGCGCGCCGGGAGCGCGGGGGCGCGCCGCGCCAGCCCGCCCGGUGACGCGCUCUGCGCCUGAUACCAUCGGCGCGCGGGAUCGGAUUGCAGUAUUUGCAAAAGGAAAAGAGGAAACUGCUUUAGGGAGGGGGGGUGGAUAUACCGUAAACGCACAAUUCAAG